GCACCUACCGAUUGAAUGGUCCGGUGAAGCCUCGGGAUUGUGGCGAGUUCCCUUUAUUGGGAGUUUGUCGCGAGAACUUGUCUAAACCUUAUCACUUAGAGGAAGGAGAAGUCGUAACAAGGUUUCCGUAGGUGAACCUGCAGAAGGAUCAAGAUCGGACUAGCGUCGUGUAGGUUAAGAGUGUAGUUCUCGGUGUUCUCCGUAUCCUUAUACAAAAAUAUCUUCUCUCCCCUUUUCUCCUUCUUCUUUUUUCCUCUCUUAUUUCACUCUUUUUCUC
rnacentral:misc_RNA from 1 species